rnacentral:rRNA from 1 species
AUUGAACGCUGGCGGCAGGCCUAACACAUGCAAGUCGAGCGGAUGAAGGGAGCUUGCUCCUGGAUUCAGCGGCGGACGGGUGAGUAAUGCCUAGGAAUCUGCCUGGUAGUGGGGGAUAACGUCCGGAAACGGGCGCUAAUACCGCAUACGUCCUGAGGGAGAAAGUGGGGGAUCUUCGGACCUCACGCUAUCAGAUAAGCCUAGGUCGGAUUAGCUAGUUGGUGGGGUAAAGGCCUACCAAGGCGACGAUCCGUAACUGGUCUGAGAGGAUGAUCAGUCACACUGGAACUGAGACACGGUCCAGACUCCUACGGGAGUCAGCAGUGGGGAAUAUUGGACAAUGGGCGAAAGCCUGAUCCAGCCAUGCCGCGUGUGUGAAGAAGGUCUUCGGAUUGUAAAGCACUUUAAGUUGGGAGGAAGGGCAGUAAGUUAAUACCUUGCUGUUUUGACGUUACCAACAGAAUAAGCACCGGCUAACUUCGUG